rnacentral:rRNA from 1 species
AACGAACGCUGGCGGCAGGCCUAACACAUGCAAGUCGAACGCCCGUAGCAAUACGGGAGUGGCAGACGGGUGAGUAACGCGUGGGAACGUGCCCUUCGGUUCGGAAUAACUCAGGGAAACUUGAGCUAAUACCGGAUACGUCCGUAAGGAGAAAGAUUUAUCGCCGAAGGAUCGGCCCGCGUCGGAUUAGCUAGUUGGUGAGGUAAUGGCUCACCAAGGCGACGAUCCGUAGCUGGUCNGAGAGGAUGAUCAGCCACACUGGGACUGAGACACGGCCCAGACUCCUACGGGAGGCAGCAGUGGGGAAUAUUGGACAAUGGGCGAAAGGCCUGAUCCAGCCAUGCCGCGUGAGUGAAGAAGGCCUUAGGGUUGUAAAGCUCUUUCAGCGGGGAAGAUAAUGACGGUACCGCAGAAGAAGCCCCGGCUAACUUCGUGCCAGCAGCCGCAGUAAU